rnacentral:rRNA from 1 species
UGACAAACCGGAGGAAGGUGGGGAUGACGUCAAGUCAUCACGGCCCUUACGGCCUGGGCUACACACGUGCUACAAUGGUCGGUACAAAGGGUUGCCAAGCCGCGAGGUGGAGCUAAUCCCAUAAAACCGAUCGUAGUCCGGAUCGCAGUCUGCAACUCGACUGCGUGAAGUCGGAAUCGCUAGUAAUCGUGAAUCAGAAUGUCACGGUGAAUACGUUCCCGGGCCUU